GGGCCCGUGGUCUAGUGGUUAUGAGGGAGUUGGCGUAGCCGCGCCCUAACAAACGUCGCCUUGACAUGGCGAAGUUCCCGAGUUCGAAUCUCGGCGGGCCCACCA
rnacentral:tRNA from 1 species